AACGAACGCUGGCGGCAUGCCUAACACAUGCAAGUCGAACGUGAUCCGGAGCUUGCUCCGGUGAAAGUGGCGCACGGGUGAGUAACGCGUGGGAACCUGCCCAGAAGUAGGGAAUAACCGCGGGAAACUGCGGCUAAUACCCUAUACUCCCUUCGGGGGAAAGAUUUAUCGCUUUUGGAUGGGCCCGCGUCGGAUUAGCUAGUUGGUGAGGUAACGGCUCACCAAGGCGACGAUCCGUAGCUGGUCUGAGAGGAUGACCAGCCACACUGGGACUGAGACACGGCCCAGACUCCUACGGGAGGCAGCAGUGGGGAAUAUUGGACAAUGGGCGCAAGCCUGAUCCAGCAAUGCCGCGUGAGUGAUGAAGGCCUUAGGGUUGUAAAGCUCUUUCGGCGGGGAAGAUGAUGACGGUACCCGCAGAAGAAGCCCCGGCUAACUUCGUGCCAGCCGCCGCCGUAACAC
rnacentral:rRNA from 1 species